rnacentral:rRNA from 1 species
GACGAACGCUGGCGGCGUGCUUAACACAUGCAAGUCGAACGCUGAAGCCUAGCUUGCUGGGUGGAUGAGUGGCGAACGGGUGAGUAACACGUGAGUAACCUGCCCUCUUCUUUGGGAUAACGCCCGGAAACGGGUGCUAAUACUGGAUAUUCACUGAUCUUCGCAUGGGGGUUGGUGGAAAGGUUUUUUCUGGUGGGGGAUGGGCUCGCGGCCUAUCAGCUUGUUGGUGGGGUGAUGGCCUGCCAAGGCUUUGACGGGUAGCCGGCCUGAGAGGGUGACCGGUCACAUUGGGACUGAGAUACGGCCCAGACUCCUACGGGAGGCAGCAGUGGGGAAUAUUGCACAAUGGGCGAAAGCCUGAUGCAGCGACGCCGCGUGAGGGAUGGAGGCCUUCGGGUUGUAAACCUCUUUCGCUCAUGGUCAAGCCGCAGCUUUGGGUUGUGGUGAGGGUAGUGGGUAAAGAAGCGCCGGCUAACUACGUGCCAGCAGCCGCGGUAAUACGUAGGGCGCGAGCGUUGUCCGGAAUUAUUGGGCGUAAAGGGCUUGUAGGCGGUUGGUCGCGUCUGCCGUGAAAUCCUCUGGCUUAGCUGGGGGCGUGCGGUGGGUACGGGCUGACUUGAGUGCGGUAGGGGAGACUGGAACUCCUGGUGUAGCGGUGGAAUGCGCAGAUAUCAGGAAGAACACCGGUGGCGAAGGCGGGUCUCUGGGCCGUUACUGACGCUGAGGAGCGAAAGCGUGGGGAGCGAACAGG